ACAGCAGCCGCCGCGGGAAAACGUAGGUGGCAAGCGUUGUCCGGAAUUAUUGGGCGUAAAGCGCGCGCAGGCGGUUUCUUAAGUCUGAUGUGAAAGCCCCCGGCUUAACCGGGGAGGGUCAUUGGAAACUGGGAGACUUAGAGUGCAGAAGAGGAGAGUGGAAUUCCAUGUGUAGCGGUGAAAUGCGUAGAUAUAUGGAGGAACACCAGUGGCGAAGGCGACUCUCUGGUCUGUAACUGACGCUGAGGCGCGAAAGCGUGGGGAGCAAACAGGAUUAGAUACCCCCGUAGUCCCUGUCUCUUAUA
rnacentral:rRNA from 1 species